CUUUAAUCCAAGACGAACAUCAGUGCAUUUAAGAGCAUUAGCAGUGCUUCUGAUUUUAAUAUCUUUCUGAUCCCCUUGAGAGAAUGUAUCAUUCUUUUCUUAUGCUGUGUUCUAUUCUAUGUACUAGAGUGGCCUUUGUGGUUCAGUCAUGAAGGUUAGUGCAGGUUAAUAAAGGAAGAUAUGCACAGAAUCACAGGGAUUGCUGGUCACAGGAUGAUGGGGACCAGUAAAAUCUCAUGGGAAAGACUGAACAGGGCUGCCGACAUUUUCUUUUUAUCCCACAUUAAUGAGCUGUUGUUAAUCCAACCUGCUUGUUAUUCUGAUGCUUGCACUGCACUUUUACCUCAAGUACACUGUAUCUUUAUAGUAAAUAUUUUUGAUGUAUUGAUUUUUACAGGUGUAAAGAUAAGCACCGUCAUUCUGAUGAGAAAAGUGAUCACUAUCUAUCCCAAAAAGGCAGUGGAAAGGCCCGCAUGCUGUAUUUGAAGGCUUUCGGCUGGCACUGGCUGUCAGUUUCCUCGCUUGUCUACCUGUCUGUGUGUGCUGUUAGUUUAGCACAAGAUGGCAUCCUGAGUGUGUGGACGGGUGAAGCCAAAGAAGUUCAAGGCCUGGAAGGGUGGAGAGAGCUCCGAAACUCACGACUGUCUGCGUACGCACUGCUCGGACUCCUGCAAGGUUAUUGUCAACCUGUGACUUCUUAUUUGAGAAUGUGUAUUUGUUAACUUAUAUGCUCUUGUAUUGCAGCCUUCCUCGUGUGCUGUGCCGCCUACAGUCUGACCUGCGCCUCUCUCAGGGCUUCUCAUACACUGCACUCAAAGCUUCUGUCAGAUGUUCUUCACAUGCCUAUGCAUUCUCAGAAGACUGACAUGAGAUGGCUACUGCAAGUAUUCACUCAGGUGAGUGUUGUCCUCCAGGAGGCGGUGUGGAGCAUAGUUCAAAACAAGUGAACUGAAAAAAGGCAUGUUUGAUUCCAGCAUGUAGCAGGUCAUCACUGUUGCGCCCUCGAGGAAGUAUAUAUUAUAUAACAGAUGUAAGCAAAUAUGAUGGAAAACCAAGAUAGAUCUUCCUUA
rnacentral:lncRNA from 1 species